GACGAACGCUGGCGGCGUGCUUAACACAUGUAAGUCGAACGGAAAGGCCCUGCUUUUGUGGGGUGCUCGAGUGGCGAACGGGUGAGUAACACGUGAGUAACCUGCCCUUGACUUUGGGAUAACUUCAGGAAACUGGGGCUAAUACCGGAUAGGAGCUCCUGCUGCAUGGUGGGGGUUGGAAAGUUUCGGCGGUUGGGGAUGGACUCGCGGCUUAUCAGCUUGUUGGUGGGGUAGUGGCUUACCAAGGCUUUGACGGGUAGCCGGCCUGAGAGGGUGACCGGCCACAUUGGGACUGAGAUACGGCCCAGACUCCUACGGGAGGCAGCAGUGGGGAAUAUUGCACAAUGGGCGGAAGCCUGAUGCAGCAACGCCGCGUGCGGGAUGACGGCCUUCGGGUUGUAAACCGCUUUCGCCUGUGACGAAGCGUAAGUGACGGUAAUGGGUAAAGAAGCACCGGCUAACUACGUG
rnacentral:rRNA from 1 species